rnacentral:rRNA from 1 species
UACGGGGGAGCAAGCGUUGUUCGGAUUUACUGGGCGUAAAGGGCGCGUAGGCGGCGUGACAAGUCACUUGUGAAAUCUCCGGGCUUAACCCGGAGCGGCCAAGUGAUACUGUCGUGCUAGAGUGCGGAAGGGGCUACUGGAAUUCUCGGUGUAGCGGUGAAAUGCGUAGAUAUCGAGAGGAACACCUGCGGCGAAGGCGGGUAGCUGGGCCGACACUGACACUGAGAGACGAAAGCUAGGGGAGCGAAUGGG